UACGUAGGGUGCGAGCGUUAAUCGGAAUUACUGGGCGUAAAGCGUGCGCAGGCGGUUCGCCAAGUCAGGUGUGAAAUCCCCGGGCUUAACCUGGGAAUUGCGCUUGAAACUAGCGGGCUUGAGUGUGGGCAGAGGGGGGUGGGAAGUUCCAACGGUGUAGCAGUGAAAUGCGUAGAGAUGUGGAGGAACACCGAUGGCGAAGGCAGCCCCCUGGGUCAACACUGACGCUCAUGCACGAAAGCGUGGGGAGCAAACAGG
rnacentral:rRNA from 1 species